AUUGAACGCUGGCGGCAGGCCUAACACAUGCAAGUCGAACGAGUAGCGGACGGGCGAGUAAUGUCUGGGAAACUGCCUGAUGGAGGGGGCUAACUACUGGAAACGGUAGCUAAUACCGCAUACCAUCAGAUGUGCCCAGAUGGGAUUAGCUAGUUGGGGGGGUAACGGCUCACAAAGGCGACGAUCCCUAGCUGGGCUGAGAGGAUGACCAGCCACACUGGGACUGAGACACGGUCCAGACUCCUACGGGAGGCAGCAGUGGGGAAUAUUGCACAAUGGGCGAAAGCCUGAUGCAGCCAUGCCGCGUGAAUGAAGAAGGCUUUCGGGUUGUAAAGUUCUUUCAUCGGGGAGGCGUUACCCGAAGAGGAAGCACCGGCUAACUCCGUGCCAGCAGCCGCGGUAAUAC
rnacentral:rRNA from 1 species